AAAAACAGGAAGUGAAGCUGGUGAACUGCAAGUCUGAAGUUCAGUUUGCUGAUAUCUUAACUAAGAGCCUGGGAAAAGAAAGGUUUGAAACACUAAGAAAAUGUCUUGGUGUUUCCAACAAAAGUGUCAAGAAGGAGUGUUGAUGAUUUAAAGAUUUAAUGUUGUCACUUUUGUUGCCAUUUUGUUUUUGUAAUUGUUUAAGUUCAAGUCAGCCAAGUUAUUAUUAUAAAAUUGUAAUAUGCUAUCAUGUAUAGUGUAAUCUGUCACAAGGUAAGGUGUAGUAGGUUGGAGGGAUGUUGACAAUCUUUUGUGUAAUUUAUAUAUACAUAGUUGGUAGAGCCAGCCGUAUAUAUCAACCAAGUGGAUAAAAGUUUGAAUAGAUUUUUCUGGUUUUUUGAUCUCCAUCUUGCUCUUUCUCUUUUGGUUAAAAUCCAUCAUGGUAUCAGAGCUAUACUGAUCUUUGAAGUGGGAUCUGUGAGAUCAAAAAGAAGAGAAAACAAGUAAGAACCUGAACAUAAAAAACCAUCAUCAUAUCAGUCGUAAUAUAGGAUCAGAGUCAGAUGGCAUCAACUGGAUUUUCAGCACCUUUACCUUCGGUUUCCACAGGAGAGAACUAUGACUUUUGGGCAGCAAAGAUGAAGGCUUAUUUAAAGGCUUAUGACCUGUGGGAAAUCACAGAAUCAGGUGUUGAACCACCGGCCUUAAGAGCAAAUCCUACAAUUGCUCAACUGAAGCAACAUAGUGAGGAGGUUGCAAAAAAGUUCAAAGCCUUGUCUUGUAUCCAGUCGGCUGUGUCUGAUGGAAUAUUCACCAGGAUAAUAACCUGUGAAUCAGCAAAGGAGGCCUGGGACAGGUUGCAGGAGGAGUUCAGAGGCAAUGCAAGAACAAGACAAAUGCAAGUCUUGAACUUAAGAAGAGAAUACGAAGGCCUGAAGAUGAAGGACACUGAAUCUGUCAAAGACUAUGCUGAUAGACUGAUGAAGGUUGUGAACAAAAUAAGGUUGUUAGGAGAUGACCUUCCUGAUAGGAGAAUAGUGGAAAAGGUUUUGAUAAGCUUACCAGAAAAUUUGAGGCUAAGAUAUCAUCUCUUGAAGACUCAAGAGAUCUUUCCACUAUAACUCUAGCUGAAUUGAUAAAUGCUCUCCAUGCCACUGAACAGAGGAGGCAGCUGAGGCAAGAAGAAGAACAGGUCGAAGGAGCUUUGUUUGCAAAAGGGAAGUACAAAGCUCAAACAAGUCUUAAUAUGAAGAAAGCAGGAUCUGAGAAAAAGAAGGGGGAAAGCAGCAAGUCUGCUGAUACAGCAAACUCAUAUCCACCAUGUCCACAUUGCAAAAAGACUGGACAUUCACCAAAAUGGUGCUGGUAUAGACCAGGAGUUCAGUGUCGAAACUGUAAACAAUUUGGUCAUGUGCAAAAGGUGUGUAAAUCACAAAAGGAAAGACAUGAUAAGAAGCAGGCUCAGAUGGCAGACGAUCAGCUGCAACAUCAGGAGGAGCAUCUCUUCACUGCCAAUAAUUUUAAAGGCUGCAACAGUGAUAAAACCUGGUUACUGGACAGUGGCUGCACCCACCACAUGGUCUCUAAUUCAAGCACCUUUGUUGAAUUAGAUCGAACAUAUAAAUCGAGGGUAAGAGUAGGCAAUGGAGAUUAUGUCAAAGUGGAAGGGAUUGGAGUGAUUGUUGUACACACUCCAUCAGGUAUUAAACGAGUUUCAGAUGUUCUUUUUGUGCCUGAAAUUGACCAGAAUUUAAUUAGUGUUGGUCAAUUAAUUGAGAAGCAAUAUACAUUGAUUUUCAAAGGAGAUGGCUGCACCAUACUUGAUCCAAAAAAUCAGGAGUUAAUGUCUGUUGAAAUGAAGCAAAGAAGCUUUCCUUAGAAUGAAAAAUUUGACAUCUCAUGCAUACUCUUGUACUGAUAUGAAAUCUACACUUUGGCACAAAAGGUUUGGUCAUGCAAACUUCACUUCACUUAAGCAAAUGCAUAAGAUGAAUCUUGUUGAAAACUUGCCUGACAUAUGUGAUGAUAGUUGUGUAUGUGAUACCUGUCAACUUGGAAAGCAAGCGAGACUACCAUUUCCUAAAAAUCAGUCAAGAAGAGCAUCAAAAAAGCUGGAAUUAAUACACUCUGAUAUUUGUGGUCCAAUGAGAACACAAACACUAAAUGGUAGUAGAUAUUUUAUACUCUUCAUUGAUGAUUUAACAAGGAUGUGUUGGGUUUAUUUUUUAAAGAAGAAGUCAGAGGUUGCUGGUGUAUUUCAGAAUUUCAAAAAAUCUGGUGGAAAAUGAGUGCAAUUGUAAGAUCAAAGCCAUCAGAACAGAUAAUGGAACUGAGUUCAAGAAUGAUCAGUUCGAUAAGUUUUGUAAUGCUGUUGGAAUCAAACAUCAGUUGACAAUACCGUAUUCACCACAACAAAAUGGAGUUUGUGAAAGGAAAAAUAGGACGGUGAUGGAGAUGGCAAGAUGCUUGAUGCUUGAGAAGAAAAUUCCAAAGGAUUUUUGGGCUGAAGCUGUGAAUACAGCAAUCUACCUUCUGAACAGAUUACCAACAACAGCUUUGAACAAACUAACUCCUUUUGAGGCUUGGUAUGGAGUUAAGCCAAAUGUCUCGCAUUUGAAAGUGUUUGGAAGUAUAUGUUAUACUCAUAUACCUGAUGCAAAAAGGGAUAAAUUGAGUCCAAAGGCAGAGCUUGGAAUUCUAGUUGGCUAUUGUGACAAUGCAAAAAGGUAUAGAGUCUACAAUCCUCAAACCAAGAAGAUGAUAUCCAGUAGGGAUAUCAAGGUGGAUGAAAAUAAUUCAUGGAAUUGGGAAGCAAGUACCUUGGAUAAACCUCAAGUUCCAAGGUUGGUAGCUCAAGAAAAUGAAGACAUCAUCAAUGAGGAUGAACCUGAACAUGACAGUGGUUCUGAUUCAGAAAAUGAAGUGCUGAGGACCAGAACUCUUGUAGAUGUUUAUGCCAGAUGUAAUUCAGCCAUGUUGGAGCCUUCAAACUUCAAUGAGGCAAUGAAUUCACAUGAUUGGAUGACUGCAAUGAAGGAGGAGAUUAAUAUGAUAGAAAAGAAUGAAACUUGGGUGCUAGUUGAUAGACCAAAAGAUAAAAAAUGUGAUUGGUGUUAAAUGGGUGUACAAGACCAAACUGAAUUCUGAUGGGUCCAUUAACAAGCUCAAAGCCAGAUUAGUUGCAAAGAGUUAUGCUCAACAAUAUGGUGUUGAUUACUCCGACACAUUUGCUCCGGUGGCUAGGUAUGAAACCAUCAGAUUACUGCUGGCAAUGGCUGCUCAAAGUGGCUGGAAAAUUCAUCAAUUGGAUGUGAAGUCUGCCUUCCUAAAUGGUUAUCUAAAUGAAGAAAUUUUCAUUGAACAACCCGAAGGCUUCUUGCUGGAAGGAAAUGAAGAGAAGGUAUAUCUAUUGAAGAAGGCACUAUAUGGAUUGAAGCAGGCUCCAAGAGCCUGGUACAGCACGGUAGAUGAGCAUUUGAGCCGUCUUGGUUUUGUGAAAAGUGUCAAUGAGCAAACCUUAUACAUUAAGCAAGUGGAAGAAGAAUCAGUCAUUAUUUCUCUAUAUGUUGAUGAUCUUCUAGUAACCGGCAGCAAUGAAUCUUUAAUUGACAAAGUAAAGGCUGAAAUGAUGUUGGCAUUUGAGAUGACUGAUUUGGGGGAGAUGAAAUAUUUUCUUGGAAUGGAAGUUGAUCAAUCUCAAGAAGGUAUUUUUAUCUGUCAAAGGAAGUAUGCCAAAGAAAUCUUGAAGAUAUUCAGCAUGGAAAAUUGCAAACGAGUAAGCACUCCUCUGCCCCAAAACUAAAAGCUCGUGAAGGAUGAUGGAAACAAGAAAACUGAUGAAAAGGUAUAUAGAAGUUUGGUCGGACGCCUAAUGUAUUUGACAAUUACAAGACCUGACAUCACUUUUGCUGUAAACUUGCUCUCCAAAUUUAGACAAGAACCAAGUGAGUUGCAUUUUCAAGCGGCAAAGAGAGUCCUGAGGUACAUCAGAGGGAAUUCUGAAAUGGGAAUCUGGUUUAGAAAGUCUGAAAUUGUGGAUCUGAUUGGGUAUACUGAUAGUGAUUGGGCUGGAUCCUUAGAUGAUAUGAAGAGCACCUCUGGAUAUGUUUUUUUAUCUGGGAUCAAGUCCAGUUUGCUGGAACUCAAUUAAGCAAAAAACGGUUGCUCAAUCAACAGCAGAGGCAGAAUAUGUGGCUGCAUCAGAAGCAACAAAUCAGGCGGUCUGGCUAAGGAAAGUCUUGAAGGAUUUAAAUCACAAUCAAUCAAAUCCAACUGUGAUUUAUUGUGACAAUCAAUCGGCUGUUGCUAUGGUUAAAAAUCCCGUGUUUCAUGGAAGGACAAAACAUAUCAAGAUUAAGUAUCAUUCAAUCAGGGAAGCACAAGAAAAACAGGAAGUGAAGCUGGUGAACUGCAAGUCUGAAGUUCAGUUUGCUAAUAUCUUAACUAAGAGCCUGGGAAAAGAAAGGUUUGAAACACUAAGAAAAUGUCUUGGUGUUUCCAACAAAAGUGUCAAGAAGGAGUGUUGAUGAUUUAAAGAUUUAAUGUUGUCACUUUUGUUGCCAUUUUGUUUUUGUAAUUGUUUAAGUUCAAG
rnacentral:lncRNA from 1 species